rnacentral:rRNA from 1 species
UUCGAUCAUGGCUCAGGAUGAACGCUGGCGGCGUGCUUAACACAUGCAAGUCGAACGAACCUUCGGGUUAGUGGCGGACGGGUGAGUAACGCGUGAGAAUCUGCCCUCAGGAGGGGGAUAACGGUUGGAAACGACCGCUAAUACCCCAUAUGCCGCGAGGUGAAAUGAAUUUCGCCUGAGGAUGAGCUCGCGUCUGAUUAAUUAGUUGGUGGGGUAAAGGCCUACCAAGACAUCGAUCAGUAGCUGGUCUGAGAGGAUGAUCAGCCACACUGGGACUGAGACACGGCCCAGACUCCUACGGGAGGCAGCAGUGGGGAAUUUUCCGCAAUGGGCGAAAGCCUGACGGAGCAACGCCGCGUGAGGGAUGAAGGCCUCUGGGCUGUAAACCUCUUUUAUCAAGGAAGAAGAUCUGACGGUACUUGAUGAAUAAGCCACGGCUAAUUCCGUGC